AAGCCCCAGGUUUCCUCUCAUCAGAUCUCAACACUGGUCUUGGUGGUAAUAAAGGCAGAAGCAAUAUUGAGAGUGGUUCACAGCAUUAUCCAUUCAGAUGAGAUUCAAACAAGA
rnacentral:snoRNA from 1 species